AUUUUAUUGUAGCUACAACCAAAGGGUAGAGGAGACCUCUACAAACGAGAGAGUACUACUCAUCGUGGACUUUGAAUAUUUUUUAACUAAGGUUAGGUUUCAAAUAGCUGUUGGGGAGGCGGUCUGUCCUACUCAUUGUGAGAUUCAGACGAAAACUCUGACUUCCCGAGUUUCAUGCCUCUUCCUUUGCUUGAAAAAGGUGAAUUCUCACUUUGCCACUCUAUUAUUUCCGGUGAUGGGUCUUCCAUUAGUCCACAUGCACUCAUGCAUGCUGUCGUUUGCUCGUUCACAUCACGGGACGGUUCCAAGGCCCACACAGACUCGUUCCCGCUUUAUUCACGCACUUCUUUUGGGACAUCGGAGGUGAGAAGGUCGAUCACAACUCUAGGAUUCCCGGGUGGGGCCUUUCCGCAAGGUAGCGGCGACACCUGGCGCCGUCAAAAAAAGAAAGGUUGAAACGAUGGGAACUCCAAGAGCACAAUCGUAAUUACAUGGAGGAGUAAAAGCAUACGGAUUUGCGUCACAUGUGUGAACCAAAAGUUAGUAUGGUACAAUUUCAGUUCCCGUCGUCAUGAAGGGGAUCUAUCUAUGGUGCCCUUCGAUCGUAGAUUGUUGUAACUCAGUACGAAAUAACGUAAAUUGCAGACACUCGUGUUCAUGUAGUCGUGAAUUGCCAAUGUCAUGAAGCACGUUUUUGUUCCAUCAUAGUUGUUUGUGCGAUUUGCUUAACGAGUGAGUUCAUGUGAGCGUGUUCAUUGUAACAUUUGUUUUGACCUUCGGUGAAUCUGGGAGCUUCUUCUGGAUUGUGGUGUUUAGGUUUGGUUUUUGUGAGUAAGAUGCAGAUUUUGAGUUGAGGCAUACUUCUUUUUAGGAGAAGGGGUUCAUUCCAUAUUAAGAAGAAGAUUGAGAUUUAAGCUUGAGAUGAAGGACCCGAAACCCAAACCGAAGGCAUUCAGCAGCAGAUGAACGAUGUUAUUCCAUUGGGGAACUAAAAGUACCUGGUUGAAAUUCUUGAUUAAGUUUAGGGACCCGAUCGCUCAUUCAACGAUUUUGGGAAUUAAAUUGUAUUGCCCACAAGUCCUAGGACUCUACUAGUUUACACAGUCUUCAUUGUGGAAUUAAAAAAUGACUUGAUCUUC